UACGGAGGGUGCGAGCGUUGUUCGGAAUUACUGGGCGUAAAGGGCGCGUAGGCGGCCUACUAAGUCAGACGUGAAAUCCCCCGGCUUAACCUGGGAACUGCGUCUGAUACUGGAAGGCUUGAGGAUGGGAGAGGGAUGUAGAAUUCCAGGUGUAGCGGUGAAAUGCGUAGAUAUCUGGAGGAAUACCGGUGGCGAAGGCGGCAUCCUGGACCAUUACUGACGCUGAGGCGCGAAAGCUAGGGGAGCAAACGGG
rnacentral:rRNA from 1 species